AACGAACGCUGGCGGCAGGCUUAACACAUGCAAGUCGAGCGCGUAGCAAUACGAGCGGCAGACGGGUGAGUAACGCGUGGGAAUCUACCGUACCCUACGGAAUAGCUCUGGGAAACUGGAGGUAAUACCGUAUACGCCCUAACGGGGAAAGAUUUAUCGGGGUAUGAUGAGCCCGCGUUGGAUCAGCUAGUUGGUGGGGUAAAGGCCUACCAAGGCGACGAUCCAUAGCUGGUCUGAGAGGAUGAUCAGCCACAUUGGGACUGAGACACGGCCCAAACUCCUACGGGAGGCAGCAGUGGGGAAUAUUGGACAAUGGGCGCAAGCCUGAUCCAGCCAUGCCGCGUGAGUGAUGAAGGUCUUAGGAUUGUAAAGCUCUUUCACCGAUGAAGAUAAUGACGGUAGUCGGAGAAGGAGCCCCGGCUAACUUCGUGCCAGCCGCCGCCGUAAAAC
rnacentral:rRNA from 1 species